rnacentral:piRNA from 1 species
UCUGACACUUCUUUAGUGUAAUCACUGGC